rnacentral:rRNA from 1 species
UAGUGAGUUUGAUCCUGGCUCAGAACGAACGCUGGCGGCAGGCCUAACACAUGCAAGUCGAGCGAGGUAGCAAUACCUAGCGGCGGACGGGUGAGUAACGCGUGGGAACGUACCCUUUGCUACGGAAUAGCCCCGGGAAACUGGGAGUAAUACCGUAUGUGCCCUUCGGGGGAAAGAUUUAUCGGCAAAGGAUCGGCCCGCGUUGGAUUAGGUAGUUGGUGGGUAAUGGCCUACCAAGCCGACGAUCCAUAGCUGGUUUGAGAGGAUGAUCAGCCACACUGGGGACCGAGACACGGCCCAGACUCCUACGGGAGCAGCAGUGGGGAAUUUGGACAAUGGGGCGCAAGCCUGAUCCAGCAAUGCCGCGUGAGUGAAGAAGGCCUUCGGGGUUGUAAAGCUC